rnacentral:rRNA from 1 species
UACGGGGGGGGCAAGCGUUGUUCGGAAUUACUGGGCGUAAAGGGCUCGUAGGCGGCCAACUAAGUCAGACGUGAAAUCCCUCGGCUUAACCGGGGAACUGCAUCUGAUACUGGAUGGCUUGAGUUCGGGAGAGGGAUGCGGAAUUCCAGGUGUAGCGGUGAAAUGCGUAGAUAUCUGGAGGAACACCGGUGGCGAAGGCGGCAUCCUGGACCGAUACUGACGCUGAGGAGCGAAAGCCAGGGGAGCAAACGGG